rnacentral:rRNA from 1 species
UACGGAGGGAGCUAGCGUUGUUCGGAAUUACUGGGCGUAAAGCGCACGUAGGCGGCUUUGUAAGUUAGGGGUGAAAGCCUGGAGCUCAACUUCAGAAUUGCCCUUAAGACUGCAUCGCUUGAAUCCAGGAGAGGUGAGUGGAAUUCCGAGUGUAGAGGUGAAAUUCGUAGAUAUCAGGAGGAACACCAAUUGCGAAGGCAGCUCGCUGGGACGUUACUGACGCUGGAGAACGCGGAAAGCAGUGGGGAGUCAAACAACGG